AAUCCAAGAUGAAGCCCGCCCCGAACGUC
rnacentral:sRNA from 1 species